GUUCGCAGAUCGUGGACACGAUGUCGUGCGAUUUAAAUAUUACAAUUAUUUGCUCAGUUUUUUGUACUUACAUCACCUUACACUUCUCGGUCUAAAAUGAAAUAGGUAUUCUACUUUUAGGAUUCGCAACAACGGAGUGCUCGCCACUCUCGAACAAUUUCUUUACAUCAGUACCACCUCCUAAACACUGUCCAUUGAGGAAUACCCUCGGCACUGUUCUGGCACCUGUUAUUUCGGCCAAUACGUCUUGUAUGUCUUGUGCAUCUUCUCUGUUGUCCAAUUCUAUCGCCGUGAAGAUUCCAUUUCCAGUAACAAGAUUGAAGUCACUCUCUCAUGGAAUAAAAUAUAAAUACCUGUUUGGCCAUUUUGCAAUAUGGACACUGAAUCUUGGAGAAUAUGACGACUGUAUCCUUUGCGAUAAGGUCCUCGACGAGAUCUCGU